ACUCAGCAACGUUUCCAUGAAAAGUGACCGACUGAAGGACGACCCUCCCAAUGUCAGUGAAGGAGAACCAGGCCGGACCCAGUCACAGAAACCAGUGCCCAGCAGAGUUACCAGGAUCCAGUCUGAGGAUGACCCACUUAACUUCACCAGAGAUUCAGAGAAAGAUGCCAAACACGAACUCAAAGCACACCUGAAGAGGAGAAUCCUCGAAGAUUAUAAAGAGCAGAGUCAACAUG